GCGUUUUUAGUUUAUUUAAAAUGAUAGUUUGUCUCACUUUUGUUGACUUUUAGUCAAAACGCU
rnacentral:tRNA from 1 species